GGGGCUGUAGCUCAGUGGCAGAGCACUUGCCUAGUAUGCAUGAGGCACUGGGUUUAAUCCUCAGCACCACA
rnacentral:tRNA from 1 species